CUGACGGGAUCCUGGAGUGGCAAGGGCCAAGUGAUAGCACUCACUGGGUCUCCAAAGGUUGAGAACUGCUGCUUUAGGGCAUCUCGGUGUGGCAAUGUCCUAUGAUUAAAGAUGAUGGUCAGCUACAACUCAAUCCAGGAGGAUGACAAAGGGUACAGAUCGUUCGGGAAUGAAGGCAGUGUAGACUAAGGAGUCGGAGAGAACGCAGAGAGUGCUGGAAGACCUGGAAUUCUCCCUCACAAAAUGGGGACAGUCAUUUCAUCGGUGACCCCAA